rnacentral:rRNA from 1 species
UACGGGGGGUGCGAGCGUUGUCCGGAAUCACUGGGCGUAAAGGGCGCGUAGGUGGUUUGAUAAGGGUGUGGUGAAAGUCCGGGGCUCAACCCCGGAUCUGCCGUGCCGACUGUCAAACUCGAGGGCUGUAGAGGCAGACGGAAUUCCGGGUGUAGCGGUGGAAUGCGUAGAGAUGUGGAGGAACACCGAUGGCGAAGGCAGCCCCCUGGGUCAAGAUUGACGCUCAUGCACGAAAGCGUGGGGAGCAAACAGG